rnacentral:lncRNA from 1 species
GCCUCGAAGCUGCUGAUGAGUCUACUACUGUCGGAUACCUUAGGCGCUGAUACCACAGGUGGGAGUUAUCUGCUGUAGAAGCUCGGAUGGAGACUUUCCAUUGGUGAAGCCCGACAGGAGUCCGAUUGCUAGAGGAGUCCGUUUGAGAUUCGCCUGAUGUGGAAGUUCGUCUGAAGAUGAUUCGUCGGAGAAGUUCGGUUUCCUGAAGGAUCUGGCGG